rnacentral:sRNA from 1 species
GCUGGGUGUGGUGGAGCACACCUGUAAUCCCAGCAACUGGAGAGGCUGAGGCAGGAGGAUUGCAAGUUAGAGGGCAGCCUCAGUGAUUUGGCAAGGCCCUAAGCAAAUAAUGAGACUGUCUCAA